rnacentral:rRNA from 1 species
GUCUGUAGCCAUUCCAUCCUGAAUGUACCCGAAGGCAUGUGAUUUUAGAAGCUGAGCAGCGUCGGACCUGGUUGGCACUUGGAUGCUCCUGGAAUGGCCCAGGACAACAAAAGGAAUGACAGUCU